UACAGAGGGUGCGAGCGUUAAUCGGAUUUACUGGGCGUAAAGCGUGCGUAGGCGGUUCGUUAAGUCGGUUGUGAAAGCCCUGGGCUUAACCUGGGAAUUGCAGUCGAUACUGAUGGACUCGAGAACGGUAGAGGGAGGCGGAACUCCAGGUGUAGCGGUGAAAUGCGUAGAUAUCUGGAAGAACACCGAUGGCGAAGGCA
rnacentral:rRNA from 1 species